UACGUAGGGUGCGAGCGUUGUCCGGAAUUAUUGGGCGUAAAGGGCUCGUAGGCGGUUCUGUCGCGUCGGGAGUGAAAACUCAGGGCUUAACCCUGAGCCUGCUUCCGAUACGGGCAGACUAGAGGUAUGCAGGGGAGAACGGAAUUCCUGGUGUAGCGGUGGAAUGCGCAGAUAUCAGGAGGAACACCGGUGGUGAAGGCGGUUCUCUGGGCAUUACCUGACGCUGAGGAGCGAAAGUGUGGGGAGCGAACGG
rnacentral:rRNA from 1 species